GUAACUUACAGAUUGAGUCCAAGCUUAGAAUAGAUUGCCUUUGGUAAAAAAUAUGGGGAUCCAUAUGCUUCCUUGUAACACUGUUAGCAUCCUUCCUGCUUCAACUCAGGAAUAUUACUGUUAACUAUUUCAUGCACAUUUGCAUGGGGGUAACAAUGCGUUUAGCUGGAAUGUGGAUACUGGCAGUGAUCUUAAAAGUAAUCCAUCAACUUCUCUGUUUUUAAAUAAAUGACAUCAGUUUAUGGAUUUUUUUGAGGGGUCUAGAACUUUCAGUGUUAGAGAAUAUAUAUCCUGUCACCCCUUGGUAUCUCCUUUUGUUCCUUGUCAUUUUGCCUUUUGCUUUACACGUGUGCCUUCUUCUGCAACCCUAGUUUACUCUUCCUAGUGGAGGUCACCUCUUAAGUCCUUAAAGGUUGUGUAUAUUAACUGUGGGAGAAAAAUAAGCAGGAGGGAAAGAGGGGACCCUUGUCUAGGACAUAAUGUGAGAUGCACUGGGGAGAGUGUAUCUUGUUGGAAUUUCUUACUCCAGGAGUGGUAGGCUCCACUUGUUCCUCAUGACAUGGCUUGGUGGCACUGGAUCUCCUCAAGGGGACGGAGGGACUCCAGGGUCUAAUUUGGAAUAGGCAGUCUCAGGUUGUCUGGUCUGAUGGGUGGAAUACACAGCCAUAUGUUCCAACAAGUUCAUCAUGGAAGUCUGAUGGUCUGGCAACUGGAGGUCAAGCAUCUCUGACCACACUCAGUUGAGAACACAGAGAGGACAGCGGUAUCUGGUCCUGGGGAUGGAGGGCUGGCCAGAGCUGGGGACCACUCGCAGGACUGAGGGAUUAUUCAAUCCUCAGUAGGUGGAUAUAUGCUUAUGGGGGAGGAAAGUUGGCAAAGGGAGUUCUGGAACAGCCAGAGAGAGGGAGAAUGAUUUUAAAAUCUCACCCAAUGUGGUUCACUAAUAUGGAAAUUGAAUUUGUCAUCUGAUUCGUGGGUACAUGGGUGGGAAACUGGCAACAAAGAAGGAGAUCAGGAGUUUGGUAAAUAUCAAAGUGGAUUAGAAGGUGAGGAGCCAGAGAGGAAGAGCAUG
rnacentral:lncRNA from 1 species